rnacentral:rRNA from 1 species
AUUGAACGCUGGCGGCAGGCCUAACACAUGCAAGUCGAGCGAGCGGAGGACGGGAGAGUAAUGUAGGGGGAAUGCCCGAUAGAGGGGGAUAACUCCUGGAAACGGUGGCUAAUACCGCAUACUAUCGGAUAACCCAUAUGGGAUUAGCUAGUAGGUGGGGUAAAGGCUCACCUAGGCGACGAUCUCGAGCUGGUCUGAGAGGAUGAUCAGACACACUGGGACUGAGACACGGCCCAGACGCCUACGGAGGCAGCAGUGGGGAAUAUUGCCAAAUGGGCGCAAGCCGGAUGCAGCAAUGCAGCGUGUAGGAAGAAGGCCUUAGGGUUGUAAAGUACUUUCAGCGGGGAGGCGUUACCCGCAGAAGAAGCACCGGCUAACUCCGUGCCAGCAGCCGCGGUAAUAC